rnacentral:rRNA from 1 species
UUGAUUCUGUCAGUCUAGAGUAUAGUUGAAGUUUGCCGGAAUGUGUCAUGUAGCGGUGAUAUGAUUUGAUAUGACACAGAACACCGAUCGCGAACGCAUCUAGCUAAGCUAUAACUGACGCUCAUGCACGAAAGCGUGGGGAUCAAACAUGGAUUAGAUACCCUGGUAGUCCACGCUGUAAACGAUGAUUACUCGAUGUUGGCGAUACACAGUCAGCGUCUGAGCGAAAGCAAUAAGUAAUCCACCUGGGGAGUACGAUCGCAAGAUUGAAACUCAAAGGAAUUGACGGGGGCCCGCACAAGCGGAGGAGCAUGUGGUUUAAUUCGAUGAUACGCGAGGAACCUUACCUGGGCUCGAACGUAAGAUGACUGUAGGUGAAAGCUUACAUCUCUUCGGAGCAUUUUACGAGGUGCUGCAUGGUUGUCGUCAGCUCGUGCCGUGAGGUGUCGGGUUAAGUCCCAUAACGAGCGCAA